rnacentral:rRNA from 1 species
UACGGAGGAUGCGAGCGUUAUCCGGAUUUAUUGGGUUUAAAGGGUGCGUAGGCGGGCUUUUAAGUCAGCGGUAAAAAUUCGGGGCUCAACCCCGUCCGGCCGUUGAAACUGGGGGUCUUGAGUGGGCGAGAAGAAGGCGGAAUGCGCGGUGUAGCGGUGAAAUGCAUAGAUAUCACGCAGAACCCCGAUUGCGAAGGCAGCCUUCCGGCGCCCUACUGACGCUGAGGCACGAAAGUGCGGGGAUCGAACAGG